rnacentral:rRNA from 1 species
GGCCCAUUAGCUUGUGGUGAGGUAACGGCUCACCCAAAGGCUUCGAUGGGUAGCUGGUCUGAGAGGACGAUCAGCCACACUGGGACUGAGACACGGCCCAGACUCCUACGGGAGGCAGCAGUGGGGAAUCUUGCACAAUGCGCGAAAGCGUGAUGCAGCAACGCCGCGUGGGGAAGACGGCCUUCGGGUUGUAAACCCCUUUCAGUUGGGACGAAGCUUCGUCGGUGAAUAGCCGGUUGGAGUGACGGUACCUUCAGAAGAAGCCCCCGGCUAACUACGUG